rnacentral:rRNA from 1 species
GCCCGCUCAGAAACUUAAAGGAAGUUGACGGGGGCCCGCACAAGACGGUGGAGCAUGUGGUUUAAUUCGAUGAUACGCGAGGAACCUUACCUGGGCUCAAAUGUAUGUUGACGUAUUCUGAAAGGGAUACUUCUUCGGACAAUAUACAAGGUGCUGCAUGGUUGUCGUCAGCUCGUGCCGUGAGGUGUCGGGUUAAGUCCCAUAACGAGCGCAACCCCUACCUUUAGUUGCCAUCAGGUAAUGCUGGGGACUCUAAAGGAACUGCCUACGCAAGUAGUGAGGAAGGCGGGGAUGACGUCAAAUCAGCACGGCCCUUACGUCCAGGGCUACACACGUGCUACAAUGGCCGAUACAGAGGGCAGCUACCUGGUGACAGGAUGCAAAUCUCCAAAGUCGGUCUCAGUUCGGAUCGGAGUCUGCAACCCGACUCCGUGAAGUUGGAUUCGCUAGUAAUCGCGCAUCAGCCAUGGCGCGGUGAAUACGUCCCUGCUCCUU